rnacentral:rRNA from 1 species
CUACGGGGUGCUGCAGUGAGGAAUAUUGCACAAUGGGGGGAACCCUGAUGCAGCAACGCCGCGUGGAGGAUGACGCAUUUCGGUGUGUAAACUCCUUUUAUAUGUCAAGAAAAUGACGGUAGCAUAUGAAUAAGCACCGGCUAACUCCGUGCCAGCAGCCGCGGUAAUACGGAGGGUGCAAGCGUUACUCGGAAUCACUGGGCGUAAAGGACGCGUAGGCGGGUUGGAAAGUCAGGUGUGAGAUCCUACAGCUUAACCGUAGAACUGCACUUGAAACUUCUAAUCUAGAGUAUGGGAGGGGGAGAUGGAAUUAGUGGUGUAGGGGUAAAAUCCGUAGAUAUCACUAGGAAUACCUAAAGCGAAGGCGAUCUCCUGGAACAUUACUGACGCUAAGGCGUGAAAGCGUGGGGAGCAAACAGGAUUAGAUACCCUUGUAGUC